rnacentral:lncRNA from 1 species
AUGUUCCCUAGAUGUCCAUCCAGGCAUGGUUGCCCGGGGAUGGUGGGAAUUACCUGGACCUUGCAUAUCUCCCUGGUGAUUCUCAGGGGAUUCGAUGACACUGACACAUCAACUGAAAGCAGAGGUCUACUGGAAACCCUCAUCUGGAUCUUUAUGUUGUCCUGUGGCCAGAAAGUUGUUUGCAGAGGCUCCAGCAACACCAGGAUGCUUUCAGCCUGCAGCAAUUGACAAUUCCAUAUUUUAUUGAAUUGAAGCAAAAUUUCUUUCUCAUGCAUGUUACAUGUCAAUUGCAAGCCAGCAAAAGGACUCUGAUCAUCACAGCAGUUCAGCCCUACAGAUUGAGAGAGGCUCCAUCUCAAACCAUGCUCCACAGUGUCUGAGGUAAGGAAAAGAAAGUACAGCAAACCAUGCGCUUACUCUUAAAGCUGCUGCCCAGAGGUAACGCAUCACUGGUUCACAUUUCAUUGGCCGAAAAAGUCACAUAGCCAAGAAUGCCUUUAAGAAGCAGGAGAGUAUCAACCUCCCUAGAGAGGAGAAGCAGAUAACAGUUUACUGCAGCCCCCACAUUCACCUUGCUCUCUCUGGCCCUUGCAUAUCUCAUUUUCUGUGCUCUGUUAGUGCCCCAAGCACACUCCCAACUCCUCCUCCUCCCCAUCAUUGCUCACUAUAUGCCAGGCACUGGGCUAGGCUUUUUUCAUCCUUUCUCUCAUUCAAUCUUCACAAUGACUCUAUGGAGUCAGUACGGUUAUUAACCCCAAUUUACAGAGAAAGACGCUGACGUGGGGAGGUUAACAGCUAGCUCCUCAGUUCCUACCUCUGUUCUCUGCUUCUGGUCCUGUGGUCACCCAUUCUGAUUUCCACCUCCACUGGCCUUCCUCGUCUCAGUCUCCUCCACAGCUUCUGACGAGAGACAGUCACAGCUUUUGGAACUUCAGAAGUGGGGCCACCUACAGUACCUCCAGACAGUGAAGGAGAACUGGGGACAAAGACAAGGCGCUCUGGGAGCUCAGAAGAAUUGACUAGCUCUACUGAUGAAGAGGAAAAGGAAUAGCGGUGGUUUAAGAUACACACCAGGUACAAGUUUGCUGGGAAA